UUGCUGGAAAUUACCUCUCCUAUAAGAUACAGUACUCAUUGAUCUCAAAAUUUGAGACUAUUAAGUCAAUUUGAAAAAAAUGAUAAUUUUUGUGAGGUGUGCUUGGUGCUCAUUGUACCAUUGGUAUAAUUUCUGAACAUUUUGGAGCCUUAAGUGAGAUGGGGAUUUUUUUCAAUUUUGUCAAUUUCAAUUCACAAUACUAGAAAUUCCACACGAUUAUACGAAGCUAAUAUUACGGUUAGGGUUUAUUUUGAAAUAGGUAAUGGAGGUUCUAGAAAGACGGCUACAGCUUGAAUAUCGCAAAAGUUGUGAUAAAUAAUGUAGAUAAAUACCUAUCUAUAUCAACAACUUUCUCAUUUUGCUAAAUGGCAUCGACUUUUUGAUGAAGUAUUAUUACAACAUCAAUGAUAAUCAACACAACAAAAUUAGUUAUCACCAUUUUUGUACUUCGCCCAUAGUUCCCAUUCGUUUAGAAAUUGCACUCAGUGGGGCUUUAAUUUAUAAAUACCGCAGGUAUUAGAUAGUUCGGUUACAGUAUCAUUUGUAAAAUUUCACUUUUCGAGUUGUUGGAUUCUUAAAAUUGACAGCGUAAUUUUUCUCGUGUGUUCUUGAUUUAACGAGAGUAAUUUUUCAACACAGCCAUACAAAAUGAGUUGCGGAGAGAACAUCGACGAAGGACAAUUCAACACUGAAAACCAGCGAAUACAAAUACAAUCAUUUUUUUCCAAUUAGUAAAGAAGAUGACUGUCUGCAUUUGAAAUUCAAAGUGAAAGCUCCCCGCGACGCUAUUAUCUUAUUUUCACCUAAACUUUUCCCAGAAAGAGAAUCACCAGUUUACGAAAUAGUUUUGGGCGGAGAAGUAAAUACGUGGUCAACAAUUCGAGCAGGACAAUUGGGCGAGGGAAAAAUCUACGCAAGAGGUAAAGAAGCCUUGGUGUCACCUACCGAAUGGAGUGAAUUCUGGAUUACAAUAAAGGGAAAUAAAAUACAAGUAGGAAGAAAAAACGCAAGUGCUUUCAUGGAAUGGACAGAUUCGAAACCUCUGUCGAUAAAAUAUUUUAGUUUCUCUUGCUACACUGGUGCUUCGGCUUUGUGGAUGUUCCCUGUCUUUAAAGAAGGAGACUUCCGGCUGUGAGAUUUUACAUAUUUUACUAUGAGUAAAUUUGUAUGUAGAUAAAUAUUGCUAGUUACAUACAUUUUAAAUCAAGUACGAAGAGAGCACAUCAAGAAGUCAUUUUGUAACGUUUAAACUUAAUUGUUAUUUCAACAUUAUACGUAGGUAUGUAGUUGCA